CCCUGGAAAAACACGUGAAAGCACUUCUGGAGGAUCACAUGAAAUUACAUUCACCAAUUUCCCCAAGGCAAUGGGGCUUUAUGUCGUCACGUUCAACUGUGUCAGCUCUCAUUCAAGUGAUUGAUGACUGGAGCAGGGCUGUCGACGAGGGAUAUGAGGUCUGUAUUGUAUUUUUUUAUGUCAAAAAAGCUUUUGACUCCGUCCCACAUGUUGCUCUUUUGAAGCACCUUCAGUAUAUGCACGUCAAGGAGUACAUUGUUAAGUAGAUGAAAAGUUAUCUACUGGGCAGAGAGCAAUUUGUUGGAAUAGACGGAUGUUCUUCAGCUAGUUUUCUGGAGUUCCUCAAGGCUCGGUCUUAGCCCCCCUACUAUUCAUCUCUUAUAUCAACCUAGUAACAUAAGUUAUAUCACAGGACAGCAACCUCAAAAUGUUUGCAGAUGAUAUGGCCCUGUAUAGAGUCAUCAAGUCUAAUAAUGACUACUAUACUUCAAAAUGAUGUAAAUGCUGUUUCGACCUUCAUGAACUCUAGGCUACUUCAAUUCAAUGUGACAAAACGCAAUUUUAUGUUCGUCUCCAAAAAGACCUCUCACUCAUUGUUGCCUCCAGCUCUACACUUAAAUGGAACCUUGCUGCAACAAGUUCCAAAUUACAAAUAUCUGGGUCUCACAUUAUCUGAUGAUCUCUCCUGGCACCCUCAUAUUACUACCAUUUGUACAAAACAAGAAAACUAAUUGGUCUACUUUAUCGAAGGUUCUCAACCAAUGCAUCUCCAUCCACUCUCUUAAAACUAUAUAUAUAAAAGCUUUGUGAGCUAGGCCACAUAUGGAAUAUGCUUCAGAAGUAUGGAGUCCCCACUAUAGAAGAGAUAUAGAAAACCUGUACAGAGAUUUGCCAUGAGAGUGUGUCUGGGUCAGUGGGAUCUAAAGCAGGGAAAACUACUGUCAGCAUCUGGCCUUACAAGUCUGGAGACAAGAAGAGUAGUUGCAAGAAUGUGCCACUUGUACAAAAUUUUACAUGACAUGAUAACCCAUGAACCGGUUGAAAGAAGAGAGAUUGUCUACAAUAGCCGCUCCAUUAAUGGGCUCUCUCUGGUACCAAUUAGAUUUCGAACAUCAAUGUAUCAAUACUCAUUCUUCCCACAUGCUGUAACUUAAUUUAUGGAAUAAACUUGUUAGUACGCACAAUAUAGAAGAUAUUGUUACUGUCCGUGUGUUUAAAUAUUUCUGUACACAUUCUUUAGGAUGCACUUUACAUCUAGCUACUAGCUAAUUGUGUAUCUAUAAUUAUGAUGCUGAAUUAUAAAAAAAAAUAACCCAUGCAGUCCAUCCAAGAUGACAUCAGCCAGAGAUUGUGCGACAGGUAUCCCUCUUUAAAAGAUUAGUUUACUGGUUGUUAACUGGAAGCGAGGUGAUUCACCACAAUCGUCCCCAUGCAGAGGAAAAGAACGUACUACAAACCAUAGAGAAAAAUGUGUACCACUGUAAAAUUGAAUCACCAUGGCAGAGAAAUUCGGAGAAAAAGCAGAAGUUAAUACUUGAAAAAAUAUUGGAGGUGACACUAUCUCUAAGUUCAAAAAAGAAAAAAUCAAUGGUUCUGCUUUUUUGGAUAUCAACUCUGACGACUUAUGCAUGUACAGUGUACAUAAUUAUAUAUGGUCAUACAAUUCUAUGAAUAACCAUUUCAAGUCAACAAUCGUUUGAACUCCAGCUUCUUUUAAUACUCAGCUAUUUUUAUCA